GACGAGGUUGCACUAUCCGAGGGAAUUUCGGCAACAAUCCCCUGCAGUUUUGGUGGAAAAUACCCAAGGGAGCUAAAACAAAAAAACUGGCCUUGAAUCGAUCACUCUGCCAUUAAUUAAUCCAAAAAUGAAACCAGAUCGCCAAAAGGGGCCCGGUUCACGGAGCCUCUCGGCUUCGUUCCGGAUUCAGGCAAUGGGCGAAUCAACGAUCUACACCUUGCUCGCCAGCUAGCUCGCCUCGCCGCUAUAGCGAAUAUAAAACAAGGCCGUGAAACAGUCCUUUCUACUCCAAUUUACUUCACAUGUAGGCGCUUUCGCAGCAACCCUUAAGCAAAAAAUCCAAUUCUCAGUAAGCGAAAGGUAAUCCAAAGGACAGUUUGUCGCGAGCCCUUUUCUCUCGUUUUAGGGAGAGACGCUUAGAAAAUGGCGGCUAGCUCCUCUCCCUCGGAUUUGAGUCUGACAAACAUUGAAGUGCUGUGUGCGUAUGCGUGUGUGUUGCUUGCUGGUAGGCGGGAGACAUUUCUCAUAGUCACCACUAGAGUAAAGGGCAAGAAAAGAAACGACAUAAAAGAUCAGAAGAAGAUAGCACAGGAGGGCAUUGUCUUUUACAUCAUAGUGCAGUGGAAGUUGUGCACUUGCUACAGGUAUAAACAACGCGCUGCUGGUAUUUCAACUGGAAAUACUGCUACUGCUGUUUACAGAGCUUCUGCAGGAUACACCAGGUUAAAUGUACAGGUAACUGGUAAAACCAUUGAUCCACCCAUCUUCUUAUCCUGCACCAGAGCAUAGUGGCAACAGAAUAAACUUUCAGCUCCCAAGCUACAUCCUCAAGCUCCUCCAGGGGGAUUCAGAGACCUUCACGCAGUUGCUGGGAUAUUUGUCUCCUCUGUGUUGGAAAUACCUCCUUUUGGUUUCGCCUUCUCUUCAGUGUCUACACUGACAACUGCAUCUCCAGAGAGUCGAUUAUGAAGAUCCUGAAGUUUGCAGAUGACACCACUGUGGUUUGUCUCCUAGCUGGUGGUGCUGAGUCUGCUUGCUGAGAAGAAGUUGAACAGCUGGUAUCCUGGGCCAAACUCCUACAUAUAUUCAGGACAGUGAAGCGGAUCAUUGACUGUAGUCUGCCAGCACUUCAGGACAUCUACAAUAGCAGAGUUACAAAGCAACUGGUUGGACUGUAGCUGACCCCUCUCAUCCUGGACAUCACCUCCUCCAGCCUUUUCCAUCUGCUAGAAGAUUCAGGACCAUCAAGGCAGCACAGGUUUUUCAUUUUGUUUCCCCAUUAACUCUAUAAUUAAACUCACUGUAUUGCACACAGUCUGAUAGCAUAUGAUUACAUCUAUAUUCUGUAUCAUCUCAUUCCAGCUCUUCAGUGAAGCUAUACCAUGGGUAAUUAAUCAAACCCACGACUCCAUCUUUUUAAACACAGUGCCACUCAGUCAAAUGGAAACAGGCCUUAUGCAUCAUUGUUCAUACAUUUCCUCAACCUUUGUCCUGACAUAUUUGUUAUUUUUGGAGACUAAACUAGAAAACAAAGUUCUCCAAAUCUAAACAAUCUUUGGCUGCACAGCAUGGGUUUGUAUUGACUGACCCACUGUCAGGUCAGAGAGCUUUAAGAGGUUGGUGAACAUGUUGAAGUAUUGACCCUACUCUGACUGAUUUGUUGAAUUGCAUUGCUGUAAAAGUGGAGACAGCUUUACGCUCUGACAGGGGCACAGCCUCUUCCCUAAAUACACCACACUAAUAGAACAGCAGACAAACAGUCAUUACAAUCAGAGCGAGUGUUUGUGAAGCUAAUGAGACUAAAGUUUAAUCAGUAACUGAAGAUGAAUUCUCCCAAAGAAAAGCUGAAGAACUCCAUUUGACAGCAGCACCGGUCCAGUUAGCACUAAGAGCCCUAUGACAGCAUAUAUUGUGAUUGUGUUAUGCUGGAAAUCGCCACAAUGCUGUCAUAGUCAGUUCUUGCAACUUGAGUUUCUUUCUGUUGUUUCUUUUGCUGUGCUUUGGCAUCACAGAUUAAAGGCAAGAAAACUCCACUCCUUUUCCUUGUCAUGGCAGAAAAUAGUGAAUGUUCACUCGGGCAGAAGGCUCUUACUUAAAAGCUGCUGUUCAGCCGUGCUCCCCUGACACACACACACACACACACACACACACAAUUUAAAAGGAUCACACGAUGCACACAGUGUAUUUCUUGCUUGCUUUUGUCUCAGGGGGCUGUGGAAACAAAUGGCAGUGUGAUCCUGCCUUUAAAGCCAGUACCCGACAACAGUAGUUGACUGCAUUUGUGUAUUUUUUAUGGAAACUAAAUUAUGUUGUCUUGUAUAUAAAAUGCGUUUUAUAAAUAAACUUAAUAUUACAGCA